GUUCCGGUAUAUCAGGGGUAGAUAGUCAGAUUGCAAUUUACGUAUUACAAUCAUCUGCAGGUCACGGGUUCAAAUCCCGUCUGGAACU
rfam:Naematelia encephala strain 68-887.2 BCR39scaffold_65, whole genome shotgun sequence.